AACCCAUGGUGAGGGCACUGUCUCAAUAAGUCCUUAUACCUCUCCCAUGGAUCAUAUAUUGUCUCUAAAUCUAUUUAAACAAAGGAAAAUAUAUCAUUCAUCAACUU
rfam:Gossypium arboreum cultivar AKA8401 contig_55536_3, whole genome shotgun sequence.